AUUGAACGCUAGCGGGAUGCUUAACACAUGCAAGUCGAACGGCAGCGCGGACUUCGGUCUGGCGGCGAGUGGCGAACGGGUGAGUAAUGUAUCGGAAUGUGCCCAGUAGCGGGGGAUAACUACGCGAAAGCGUAGCUAAUACUGCAGACGACCUACGGGGGAAAGCAGAGGAGCGUAAGAACUUGCACGAUUGGAGCGGCUGAUUUCGGAUUAGCUAGUUGGUGAGGUAACGGCUCACCAAGGAGGGGAUCCGUAGCUGGGUUGAGAGGACGACCAGCCACACUGGGACGGAGACGCGGCCCAGACGCCUGCGGGAGGCAGCAGUGGGGAAUUUUGGACAAUGGGGGCAACCCUGAUCCAGCCGUCCCGCGUGUGCUAUGAAGGCCUUCGGGUUGUAAAGCACUUUUGGCAGGAAAGAAACGUCGCGGGCUAAUACCCCGUGGAACUGACGGUACCUGCAGAAUAAGCACCGGCUAACUACGUG
rnacentral:rRNA from 1 species